AGAGUUUGAUCCUGGCUCAGGAUGAACGCUGGCGGCGUGCCUUAGGCAUGCAAGUCGAACGGGAGCAGUAAUGCUUCAGUGGCAGACGGGUGAGUAACGCGUAGGAAUCUACCUCUGGGUAGGGCAUAGCUGGCCGAAAGGUCAGGUAAUUCCCUAUAGUCCCGCAAGGGUAAAGGACUUAACGGUCCGCCGAGAGAGGA
rnacentral:rRNA from 1 species